GAUGAACGCUGGCGGCGUGCCUAAUACAUGCAAGUCGAGCGAACAGACGAGGAGCUUGCUCCUCUGACGUUAGCGGCGGACGGGUGAGUAACACGUGGAUAACCUACCUAUAAGACUGGGAUAACUUCGGGAAACCGGAGCUAAUACCGGAUAAUAUAUUGAACCGCAUGGUUCAAUAGUGAAAGACGGUUUUGCUGUCACUUAUAGAUGGAUCCGCGCCGCAUUAGCUAGUUGGUAAGGUAACGGCUUACCAAGGCAACGAUGCGUAGCCGACCUGAGAGGGGGGUCGGCCCCACCGGAAUUGAAACGCGGUCCAGACCCCCAGGGGAGGCCGGGGGGGGGAAUGUUCCGAAAAGGGCGAAAGCCUGACGGAGCAACGCCGCGGGGGUGAAGAAGGUUUGCGGUUCGUAAAACUUUUUUUUUGGGGAAGAAAAAAUGUGUAAGUAACGAAGCCGGUCUGAACGGAACCGAAAAAGAAAGCCCGGGUAACUUCCGG
rnacentral:rRNA from 1 species